GGCCGCAAACUCGCGCAGCGCCUGCUCAUUGCCCUCCGAAGGCAAAGGUCGUACGUUCGAAUCGUAUCGGGUCCGCCA
rnacentral:tRNA from 1 species